rnacentral:rRNA from 1 species
UUGAACGCUGGCGGCAGGCCUAACACAUGCAAGUCGAACGGUAACAGGAAGCAGCUUGCUGCUUUGCUGACGAGUGGCGGACGGGUGAGUAAUGUCUGGGAAACUGCCCGAUGGAGGGGGAUAACUACUGGAAACGGUAGCUAAUACCGCAUAACGUCGCAAGACCAAAGAGGGGGACCUUAGGGCCUCUUGCCAUCGGAUGUGCCCAGAUGGGAUUAGCUAGUAGGUGGGGUAAUGGCUCACCUAGGCGACGAUCCCUAGCUGGUCUGAGAGGAUGACCAGCCACACUGGAACUGAGACACGGUCCAGACUCCUACGGGAGGCAGCAGUGGGGAAUAUUGCACAAUGGGCGCAAGCCUGAUGCAGCCAUGCCGCGUGUAUGAAGAAGGCCUUCGGGUUGUAAAGUACUUUCAGCGGGGAGGAAGGGAGUAAAGUUAAUACCUUUGCUCAUUGACGUUACCCGCAGAAGAAGCACCGGCUAACUCCGUGCCAGCAGCCGCGGUAAUACGGAGGGUGCAAGCGUUAAUCGGAAUUACUGGGCGUAAAGCGCACGCAGGCGGUUUGUUAAGUCAGAUGUGAAAUCCCCGGGCUCAACCUGGGAACUGCAUCUGAUACUGGCAAGCUUGAGUCUCGUAGAGGGGGGUAGAAUUCCAGGUGUAGCGGUGAAAUGCGUAGAGAUCUGGAGGAAUACCGGUGGCGAAGGCGGCCCCCUGGACGAAGACUGACGCUCAGGUGCGAAAGCGUGGGGAGCAAACAGGAUUAGAUACCCUGGUAGUCCACGCCGUAAACGAUGUCGACUUGGAGGUUGUGCCCUUGAGGCGUGGCUUCCGGAGCUAACGCGUUAAGUCGACCGCCUGGGGAGUACGGCCGCAAGGUUAAAACUCAAAUGAAUUGACGGGGGCCCGCACAAGCGGUGGAGCAUGUGGUUUAAUUCGAUGCAACGCGAAGAACCUUACCAGGUCUUGACAUCCUUUGACCACUCUAGAGAUAGAGCUUUCCCUUCGGGGACAAAGUGACAGGUGGUGCAUGGUUGUCGUCAGCUCGUGUCGUGAGAUGUUGGGUUAAGUCCCGCAACGAGCGCAACCCUUAUUACUAGUUGCCAGCAUUUAGUUGGGCACUCUAGUGAGACUGCCGGUGACAAACCGGAGGAAGGUGGGGAUGACGUCAAAUCAUCAUGCCCCUUAUGACCUGGGCUACACACGUGCUACAAUGGAUGGUACAACGAGUUGCGAGACCGCGAGGUUUAGCUAAUCUCUUAAAACCAUUCUCAGUUCGGAUUGUAGGCUGCAACUCGCCUACAUGAAGCCGGAAUCGCUAGUAAUCGCGGAUCAGCAUGCCGCGGUGAAUACGUUCCCGGGCCUUGUACACACCGCCCGUCACACCAUGAGAGUUUGUAACACCCAAAGCCGGUGAGGUAACCCUUCGGGGAGCCAGCCGUCUAAGGUGGGACAGAUGAUUAGGGUG